CAGAGGGAAGAGGGGAGGUGAUAAUCUGAAUUUUCCACAAAGUAAAGGUCCAGAUAAUCAGGAGAGGUCUCACAGCAUCACACCACUUAAGGCCCUGGGGAUGAGAGCUUUACACACUGCUGGCUGGAGUGACCUCUGUACAGAGUCCCCUUCUCUAAUGUGGGGGGUGGGGUCUGACCUCUGGGACCUCACAAACUGGAGACCUUAUUGUGAGACGUGUCUGCUGCUCUCAGACUCUGCUCCAUGGAGGAGAAGGUUUGUGCUCUUUGAACACUUGGAAGCACUGGGUGGCACGGGGGAGUGAGAUGAUGCUCUGGAUGGGAGCUCUCUGAAGUGGUGCUUCGGCGUUCCCAUGCCAACGGAGGGAAAGCAGAGCAAAAACGGAAAACAAAAAUCAAACACAAAACCCCAGCUUGGCCAGUGUCUAGGAAAAAAAAAAA
rnacentral:lncRNA from 1 species